rnacentral:rRNA from 1 species
UACGUAGGGUGCGAGCGUUAAUCGGAAUUACUGGGCGUAAAGCGUGCGCAGGCGGCUUUGCAAGACAGAUGUGAAAUCCCCGGGCUCAACCCCGGAACUGCCUUUGAAACUAGAUUGCUAGAAUCCUGGAGAGGCGAGUGGAAUUCCGAGUGUAGAGGUGAAAUUCGUAGAUAUGCGGAGGAACACCAAUGGCGAAGGCAAUCCCCUGGGCCUGUACUGACGCUCAUGCACGAAAGCGUGGGGAGCAAACAGG